GAGCCAGUGAGAAAUAAAUAAAUUAAAAUCUCACCUGACCUGGUUAGGGUGAGUGAAUAAAGAGAUGAAGCUGAAAGGGGAGACAGUGAUUGUUUGUAACGGUGAUGAGACAGUCAGUGCUUUUCUCUCAUUCUGUGUGUGAGUCAUUGUUUGGCUGAGCAGCAGCGUACUGGAAACCACAGAGAAGGACAACAAGAAAACGAGAUGAUGGGGGUUGAAAGGCAGUGUGAGGUGGAGGUACUGAAACAGUCCCAAAAAGAUUUACAGUGGGUCCAAAAACAGCUGUCAAUCAUCUCUAACAGAACCAAUGGACCAGGCAGGACCAAAGAUAAGAAACGGAGGAAUGAGGUGUUUCCAUUGCAUUUAUCUGAGUUAUCGC